UAGGGAAUCUUCCACAAUGGACGCAAGUCUGAUGGAGCAACGCCGCGUGAGUGAAGAAGGUUUUCGGAUCGUAAAGCUCUGUUGUUGGUGAAGAAAGAUAGUGAGAGUAACUGCUCAUUAUUUGCCGGUAAUCAACCAGAAAGUCACGGCUAACUACGUGCCAGCAGCCGCGGUAAUACGUAGGUGGCAAGCGUUGUCCGGAUUUAUUGGGCGUAAAGCGAGCGCAGGCGGAAAGAUAAGUCAGAUGUGAAAGCCCUCGGCUUAACCGAGGAAUAGCAUCGGAAACUGUCUUUCUUGAGUGCAGAAGAGGAGAGUGGAACUCCAUGUGUAGCGGUGGAAUGCGUAGAUAUAUGGAAGAACACCAGUGGCGAAGGCGGCUCUCUGGUCUGUAACUGACGCUGAGGCUCGAAAGCAUGGGUAGCGAACAGG
rnacentral:rRNA from 1 species